AGGAUGAACGCUGGCGGCGUGCCUAAUACAUGCAAGUCGAGCGGUAAGGCCCCUUCGGGGGUACACGAGCGGCGGACGGCUGAGUAACACGUAGGAACGUACCCCAAAGUGAGGGAUAAGCACCAGAAAUGGUGUCUAAUACCGCAUGUGCUCUUCGGAGGAAAGCUUCGGCGCUUUGGGAACGGCCUGCGCAUGAUUAGCUUGUUGGUGAGGUAAUGGCUCACCAAGGCGACGAUCAUUAGCUGGUCUGAGAGGAUGAUCAGCCAGACUGGGACUGAGAACGGCCCAGACUCCUACGGGAGGCAGCAGUAGGGAAUUUUCCACAAUGGGCGAAAGCCUGAUGGAGCAACGCCGCGUGCAGGAUGAAUGCCCUCGGGUUGUAAACCCUUUCGGCAGGGACGAAGCGAAAGUGACGGUACCUGACAAAGAAGCGCCGGCUAACUACGUGCCAGCAGCCGC
rnacentral:rRNA from 1 species